GAUGAACGCUGGCGGCGUGCCUAAUACAUGCAAGUCGAGCGAACGGACGAGAAGCUUGCUUCUCUGAUGUUAGCGGCGGAUGGGUGAGUAACACGUGGAUAACCUACCUAUAAGACUGGGAUAACUUCGGGAAACCGGAGCUAAUACCGGAUAAUAUUUUGAACCGCAUGGUUCAAAAGUGAAAGACGGUCUUGCUGUCCCUUAUAGAUGGAUCCGCGCUGCAUUAGCUAGUUGGUAAGGUAACGGCUUACCAAGGCAACGAUGCAUAGCCGACCUGAGAGGGUUAUCGGCCACACUGGAACUGAGACACGGUCCAGACUCCUACGGGAGGCAGCAGUAGGGAAUCUUCCGCAAUGGGCGAAAGCCUGACGGAGCAACGCCGCGUGAGUGAUGAAGGUCUUCGGAUCGUAAAACUCUGUUAUUAGGGAAGAACAUAUGUGUAAUUAACUGUGCACAUCUUGACGGUACCUAAUCAGAAAGCCACGGCUAACUACGUG
rnacentral:rRNA from 1 species